rnacentral:rRNA from 1 species
GCCUGCAUGAAGUUGGAAUUGCUAGUAAUCGCGAAUCAGAAUGUCGCGGUGAAUACGUUCCCGGGCCUUGUACACACCGCCCGUCACACCAUGAGAGCCGAUAACACCCGAAGCCUGUGAGCUAACCGUAAGGGGGCAGCAGUCGAAGGUGGGGUUGGUGAUUGGGGUGAAGUCGUAACAAGGUAUC